GUGGGGAAUAUUGGGCAAUGGGGGAAACCCUGACCCAGCAACGCCGCGUGAAGGAAGAAGGCUUUCGGGUUGUAAACUUCUUUUACCAGGGAAAAACACAAUGAUGGUACCUGGAGAAAAAGCUACGGCUAACUACGUGCCAGCAGCCGCGGUAAUACGUAGGUGGCAAGCGUUGUCCGGAAUUACUGGGUGUAAAGGGCGUGUAGGCGGAACUACAAGUCAGGGGUGAAAACUAUGGGCUUAACCCAUAGCCUGCCUUUGAAACUGUAGUCCUUGAGUGCUGGAGAGGCAAUUGGAAUUCCUAGUGUAGCGGUGAAAUGCGUAGAUAUUAGGAGGAACACCAGUGGCGAAGGCGAAUUGCUGGACAGUAACUGACGCUGAGGCGCGAAAGCGUGGGGAGCAAACAGGAUUAGAAACCCUGGUAGUCC
rnacentral:rRNA from 1 species